UCCCUGGUGGUCCAAUGGUUGGAACUCUGCACUACCACUGCAGAGGACACAGGUUCGAUCCCUGGUCAGGGAA